GGCUGGGUAGCUCAAUUGGUUAGAGCAUCAGCCUGUUAUGCCAAGGUUGCAGGUUCAAUCCCCAGUCAAGCCA
rnacentral:tRNA from 1 species